rnacentral:lncRNA from 10 species
CCACGUUACUGUGCUGAAUACUGUAGGCAAUUAUGACAAAAUGGUGUUGCCAAUGUGAAGGCAUUAAGAAGUGGAGCCUUUAAGAGGAAACGGGAGCAGCCUCCACUGCUUACCUGUUCAAACCACCUUAAUUUGUGGCCUCUGGGGUGGAAGCUCACAGCUGGACUACAUCUCCUAGGCUGUGUUUCAGCCAAUGGACUAUGGCCAAAAGCAGGGAAUGCCCCUUCCAGGCCUGGCCUAUAAAAAUCCCCCAUGUGCUCCUCUGUUCUCUCUUUGUCCACCUGCCAGCUGGACAUUGAUGCUCAAGGCAACCUUGGAGGUCAUGUGUUGAAGAUGGCAGUGUCUUUG